rnacentral:rRNA from 1 species
CCAGACUCCUACGGGAGGCAGCAGUGGGGGAUAUUGCACAAUGGGGGAAACCCUGAUGCAGCGACGCCGCGUGGGCGAAGAAGUAUUUCGGUAUGUAAAGCCCUAUCAGCAGGGAAGAAGAAAUGACGGUACCUGAGUAAGAAGCACCGGCUAAAUACGUGCCAGCAGCCGCGGUAAUACGUAUGGUGCAAGCGUUAUCCGGAUUUACUGGGUGUAAAGGGAGCGUAGACGGCAGUGCAAGUCUGGAGUGAAAGGCGGGGGCUCAACCCCCGGACUGCUCUGGAAACUGUACGGCUGGAGUGCAGGAGAGGUAAGUGGAAUUCCUAGUGUAGCGGUGAAAUGCGUAGAUAUCAGGAGGAACACCGGUGGCGAAGGCGGCCUGCUGGACUGCAACUGACGUUGAGGCCCGAAAGCGUGGGGAGCAAACAGGAUUAGAUACCCGAGUAAA